UUACCUGGGCCGUAAAGCGUGCGCAGGCGGUUUUGUAAGACAGAGGUGAAAUCCCCGGGCUCAACCUGGGAACUGCCUUUGUGACUGCAAGGCUGGAGUGCGGCAGAGGGGGAUGGAAUUCCGCGUGUAGCAGUGAAAUGCGUAGAUAUGCGGAGGAACACCGAUGGCGAAGGCAAUCCCCUGGGCCUGCACUGACGCUCAUGCACGAAAGCGUGGGGAGCAAACAGGAUUAGAUACCCUGGUAGUCCACGCCCUAAACGAUGUCAACUGGUUGUUGGGUCUUCACUGACUCAGUAACGAAGCUAACGCGUGAAGUUGACCGCCUGGGGAGUACGGCCGCAAGGUUGAAACUCAAAUGAAUUGACGG
rnacentral:rRNA from 1 species